GGGAGAUAAACACUCACAUUCGCGAAGGCAAGAGGGACCCCUAUACCCGUUCGAAACCGACUCCCCCAGUUGCAUAUGAACUCCACACACAGACAACAAGCUCUCUCUUCUCCUUUCACAUCUCUUAGGUCUUAUACCUUUCUUGGUUUUCCAUUUUCAGUCCAAUUUUAUCCUUGUACAGGGUGAGAUGGUUUAAAUUAUUUCUUUUCUUGUUGAUCUUUUUCUACGGCUUUAACAUGGGUUAUGUAAUUUUAUGCGCAUAAAGGCCUUCUGGGUUCUGGUUUAGUUGCUUGUUUUAUUUUCUGCAAACCCUUAAUUCUGAUUUUUUUCUUUUUCAAAUACUGCUAAUUUCGAUGUAAAUUUGUCUAAUAUCGGUCAUUUCUUCCUUUUUUACCGUUGACACUCGACUUUCUUUCGUUCAAUUUUUUUUUUUCUUUUUGAUGCAUUUCUUGAGCACAAUAACUAUUGAAUCUGGUUGGUUUAUUGGUUCUUUGAUUAUCAGUGAAUAUGGAGGAUUAAUCUUUUUUGCUUGUAAUUUCUGUAGAUUGUUUGAAUUACUUGGUAUCAUCGAAGCAGCCAUCAUUUUGGACUUGUUAAUCCAAUUCAUUCUUGAGGUCGAAUUUUGAUGCUGCUUUAUGUGCAUGAUUUAGAUCACUUUCUAGAGUUAUAACCAUAGAAUCAUCUGUGUUGUCUCUUGUGUUUUGGGUGUCUAUCGUUGGAAAGGCAUGUUAAAAUGGUAAUCCUAAAAUGUACGAACAGUAGAGCAUAAUCUCUUUUUUGGCUUCUGAAGAGAAGCGAAAAUUAGAACAUAAUAUGACUAGAUUCUCUUUACCUUUGCGUUUGACACAAAACUGUAAUUUCUUUACGGAUAUUACAAUUCGAUUAUAGAAUGAAUUGAACUGAGUAUGGUAAUGAAAUACGAAUGAAUUCUACUUCAUGAUUUGUUCGGACAAGAGAUGGCAAGUUGUCUGAGUGAUCUUCAGCUUUGUCUUCUGAAUUGAGUGGGAUGUUAAUCAACACGAUGAACAAUUUUUUAUUCUUCCUGGCUGUUUUUUCAAUGUUCCUCACUGCUUACCUACUAUUGUUUUUCGUGCAGCUAUUAAUACUUGUAUGGUAUGCUAGUUCAGGGCUUGUUUCAUCUGGUUUUCAAAUAGGAGUGUGGUUAAUUUAUUCUUGGUACAUUCUUGAUGCAUCUACUUUUUUAUGGGCCAAGAAAAAGAAGGCAGAUGCUGUGUGCUUUUAGAUUUUAAUUUGAAGGUUUGAUCAUGGCAUUUGAACCUCAUUAUCAAAGAGGUCCCCAAGUAGGUGUUUUCAACAUGGAAGAUAUUCAGUUAAAUACUAAUUGGGAAGAUGUGAUUUGUCCUAUAUGCUUGGAUUUCCCUCACAACAGUGUACUCCUUCAAUGCUCAUCUUAUGAGAAAGGCUGCAGGCCUUUUGUUUGUGAUACAGACCAUUUGCACUCAAACUGUUUGGACCGUUUCAAAAGUGCUGGUGGUAUGCCAUCCCCUUCAACUUCUGAUGAAUCUCUAACAACAAAUACACAGCAUAUGAUAGUGGAGGGCAAUUGUAAACUAGCUUGUCCCCUGUGUAGAGGUGAAGUUACUGGGUGGGUGGUUGUUGAUAAAGCUCGUGCACAUUUGGACGAGAAAAAGCGUUGUUGUGAGGAAGAACAAUGUACUUUCGCAGGGACCUAUUCAGAACUAUGCAAACAUGCUCAACUAGAACACCCUCAUGCCCGUCCUUCAAAAAUUGAUCCUGCUCGACAACUUGAUUGGGAGAAUUUCCAGCAGUCCUCUGAGAUAAUAGAUGUUUUGAGCAUGAUACAUUCAGAAGUCCCACGUGGGGUUGUUUUGGGAGACUAUGUAAUUGAGUAUGGGGAUGAUGAGACUGGAGAUGAAUUUGAGGACUUUCCUGGGGAUGAAGGCAACUGGUGGACUUCUUGCAUCUUGUACCAGGUAUUUGAUAACUUCAGAAGUUCAAGAAAUAGAAGAAGGUCAAGAGUAGCUGAUACAAGAAGGGGAAGUCGCCGCUCGAGUUAUGAUAAUUCAAAUUCUGAUGAGGGUUCUGUCACAUCUGUAGAAUUUGCAGAGUAUAGACUAGAUGAGAUUGAUGAUGAGUUUCCAAGUACGCGUGGCCCCUCCAGGGGUAGCUCUGGUCAUCGCAGUUCCCGAAGGCGUCGUUCCCGCUUUUAUGACAAUUAGGUAUGCCCUGCACGAAUACCUCCACUUUGGCUUUUAAGGAGGUCUCUUUUACAGCGUAAUGGACCAUAUAGAUCCUUUAUUUCUUGAAUCUCUACUACGUAUUUUUAUUUAUUAAGUAUUUGUGAUAUACCUCAUUAGUGCACUUGACAUAUUGGCAGCUGAUUGAUGAAAAGUGAACGGAGGAUUGAAAGUGGUAGAGAUGCUGGAAAUUUAGUUAGUCUUAAAACAAAAAGUUACAUCUGGAUCAGAUCUUGUAAAAUAUGUAAUUAGAUCUGCCGAUUACACCUGAAUUUGUAUUUGACUGGUUACAUGGUGACUGAAUUUGUUAUUCAUUCUGUUGAAUUUGAAAUUGAUUAUUAAUUUUGCAUAUUAGGAAUGUGAAAGAAGAUUUAAUUGUUCAAUUGUACAGGAUGUGAUCUUGAUAGUAAUUUUGGCUUCUUUUGCAGUCCAAUGCAGCUAU
rnacentral:misc_RNA from 1 species